rnacentral:rRNA from 1 species
CGGCCAUGACCAUGCUGAAUAUACCGGUUCUCCUUCGAUCACCGAAGCCAAGCAUCAUCUGGCUGCGGUCAGUACUCUGGGAGGAUGACCACCUGGGAACACCACGUGCCGUU